AUACUAUCACCUGCCUCAUGGGUUUCUCUUGUGGGGAGUGGGUGGACUUGGGUGUUGCCGAUUGAACUGUCGGCUCGUCCUGAAAUGCAUUAGCCUUGACCUUCUCGGUUGAACCCCGGUGUGAUAGACUAUCAACGCCGCUCGGUUUGGCUGGCCUGGGUUGGCUCAGAGCAGAGUGGUCCCUUGUGGCCUCAUUUUGAA
rnacentral:misc_RNA from 1 species